rnacentral:rRNA from 1 species
CGAGUUUGAUCAUGGCUCAGAUUGAACGCUGGCGGCAUGCCUUACACAUGCAAGUCGAACGGCAGCACGGGAGCAAUCCUGGGUGGCGAGUGGCGAACGGGUGAGUAAUAUAUCGGAACGUGCCCAGUCGUGGGGAUACGUAGCGAAAGUUACGCUAAUACCGCAUACGAUCUACGGAUGAAAGCGGGGGACUCGCAAGAGCCUCGCGCGAUUGGAGCGGCCGAUAUCAGAUUAGGUAGUUGGUGGGGUAAAGGCUCACCAAGCCAACGAUCUGUAGCUGGUCUGAGAGGAUGAUCAGCCACACUGGGACUGAGACACGGCCCAGACUCCUACGGGAGGCAGCAGUGGGGAAUAUUGGACAAUGGGCGAAAGCCUGAUCCAGCAAUGCCGCGUGAGUGAUGAAGGCCUUCGGGUUGUAAAGCUCUUUUACUCGGGACGAUAAUGACGGUACCGAGAGAAUAAGCCCCGGCUAACUCCGUG